CCUACGGGAGGCUGCAGUGAGGAAUAUUGGUCAAUGGACGAGAGUCUGAACCAGCCAAGUAGCGUGAAGGAUGACUGCCCUAUGGGUUGUAAACUUCUUUUAUAUGGGAAUAAAACGUUCCACGUGUGGGAUUUUGUAUGUACCAUAUGAAUAAGGAUCGGCUAACUCCGUGCCAGCAGCCGCGGUAAUACGGAGGAUCCGAGCGUUAUCCGGAGUUAUUGGGUUUAAAGGGAGCGUAGGUGGAUUGUUAAGUCAGUUGUGAAAGUUUGCGGCUCAACCGUAAAAUUGCAGUUGAAACUGGCAGUCUUGAGUACAGUAGAGGUGGGCGGAAUUCGUGGUGUAGCGGUGAAAUGCUUAGAUAUCACGAAGAACUCUGAUUGCGAAGGCAGUUCACUGGACUGCAACUGACACUGAGGCUCGAAAGUGUGGGUAUCAAACAGGAUUAGAUACCCUUGUAGUC
rnacentral:rRNA from 1 species